rnacentral:rRNA from 1 species
GAUGAACGCUGGCGGCGUGCUUAACACAUGCAAGUCGAACGGAAAGGCUCCUGCUUGCAGGGGUACUCGAGUGGCGAACGGGUGAGUAACACGUGGGUGAUCUGCCCUGCACUUCGGGAUAAGCCCGGGAAACUGGGGCUAAUACCGGAUAGGAGGACGGGCUGGAUGCCAUUGUGUGAAGAUUUUUCGGUGUGGGAUGGGCUCGCGGCCUAUCAGCUUGUUGGUGGGGUAAUGGCCUACCAAGGCGUCGACGGGUAGCCGGCCUGAGAGGGUGUACGGCCACAUUGGGACUGAGAUACGGCCCAGACUCCUACGGGAGGCAGCAGUGGGGAAUAUUGCACAAUGGGCGGAAGCCUGAUGCAGCGACGCCGCGUGGGGGAUGACGGCCUUCGGGUUGUAAACUGCUUUCGCUAGGGACGAAGCGCGAGUGACGGUACCUGGUGAAGAAGCACCGGCUAACUACGUG